rnacentral:rRNA from 1 species
GUUGUCGCAAUACAGCAGUGGCAGACGGGUGAGUAACACGUGGGAACCUUCCUCGGGGUACGGAACAACGCAGGGAAACUUGCGCUAAUACCGUAUACGUCCGUGAGGAGAAAGAUUUAUCGCCCUGAGACGGGCCCGCGUCGGAUUAGCUAGUUGGUGGGGUAACGGCCUACCAAGGCGACGAUCCGUAGCUGAUCUUAGAGGAUGAUCAGCCACACUGGGACUGAGACACGGCCCAGACUCCUACGGGAGGCAGCAGUGGGGAAUCUUGGACAAUGGGCGCAAGCCUGAUCCAGCCAUGCCGCGUGAGUGAAGAAGGUCUUCGGAUUGUAAAGCUCUUUUGCCAGGGACGAUAAUGACGGUACCUGGAGAAUAAGCCCCGGCAAACUUCGUGCCAGCAGCCGCGGUAAUACGAA